rnacentral:rRNA from 1 species
ACUCCUACGGGAGGCAGCAGUGGGGAAUAUUGCACAAUGGGAAAGCCAUCGAUGCAGCCAUGCCGCGCUGUGUGAAGAAGGCCAAUUCGGGCUUGGUUAAAGACACUUUCAGUAGGGAGGAAGGUAGUGUAGUUAACACCUGCAUUAUUUGACGUUACCUACAGAAGAAGCACCGGCUAACUCCGUGCCAGCAGCCGCGGUAAUACGGAGGGUGCGAGCGUUAAUCGGAAUUACUGGGCGUAAAGCGCAUGCAGGCGGCCUGUUAAGUCAGAUGUGAAAGCCCGGGCUUAACCUCGGAAUUGCAUUUGAAACUGGCAGGCUAGAGUCUUGUAGAGGGGGUGAGAAUUGAUCAGGUGUAGCGGUG